GUAGGGCGUUUUAGGGUCGGGUGAAGCCGGGUAACUGAAAUAAAUCCAGCGCAUGUUGAUCUGGAUUCAUAGUGCAGGCCUCGGCACCACGAAACAGGA